rnacentral:rRNA from 1 species
AAACGUAGGAGGCGAGCGUUAUCCGGAUUUACUGGGCGUAAAGCGCGUGCAGGCGGUUGUGUAAGUUGGAUGUGAAAGCUCCUGGCUUAACUGGGAGAGGUCGUUCAAUACUGCACAACUAGAGGAUGGGAGAGGGAGGCGGAAUUCCGGGUGUAGUGGUGAAAUGCGUAGAUAUCCGGAGGAACACCAGUGGCGAAAGCGGCCUCCUGGCCCAUAACUGACGCUCAUACGCGAAAGCUAGGGUAGCAAACGGGAUUAGAGACCCCGGUAGUCCUAGCUGUAAACGAUGUGGACUUGGCGUCGGCGGGUUUAAAUCCGUCGGUGCCGAAGCAAACGCGAUAAGUCCACCGCCUGGGGACUACGGCCGCAAGGUUAAA